rnacentral:misc_RNA from 1 species
AACGGUCUAUACCUGCGGUACCUGCGGAGGGAUCAUUAAAAAAAAUAAACUCACCAAGAUUUUGGUGGGCAAAAGGAGGAGGAGGGAGAGAGUGAGUGGGUAUUUUUAUAAAAGAGUUUAUAUGAAUAUUUUUUUAGGAUAUAUUAUUUUAUACAUAUUUUUAUAAAUAUUUAUAAUAUAAUAUAAAUAAAAAAUGUACACAUAUAAACUUUUUUAGUUAAGUAUGCAUUCACUAAAACU